GACGAACGCUGGCGGCGUGCUUAACACAUGCAAGUCGAACGGUAAGGCCCUUCGGGGUACACGAGUGGCGAACGGGUGAGUAACACGUGGGUGAUCUGCCCUGCACUUCGGGAUAAGCCUGGGAAACUGGGUCUAAUACCGGAUAGGACUCCUGGCUUCAUGGUUGGGGGUGGAAAGCUUUUGCGGGGUGGGAUGGGCCCGCGGCCUAUCAGCUUGGUGGUGGGGUAAUGGCCUACCAAGGCGACGACGGGUAGCCGGCCUGAGAGGGUGACCGGUCACACUGGGCAUGGGAUACGGCACGGACUCGUACGGGAGGCAACAGUGGGGAAUAUUGCACAAUGGGCGCAAUCGUGAGGCAGCGACGCCGCGUGGGGGAUGACGGCCUUCGGGUUGUAAACCUCUUUCAGCUAUGACGAAGUGAAAGUGACGGUAGUAGCAGAAGAAGGACCGGCCAACUACGUGCCAGCCGCCGCAGUAA
rnacentral:rRNA from 1 species